GACGAACGCCGGCGGCGUGCUUAACACAUGCAAGUCGAACGGUGAAAGCGGAGCUUGCUCCGCUGGAUCAGUGGCGAACGGGUGAGUAACACGUGGGCAACCUGCCCCUCACUUCGGGAUAACUCCGGGAAACCGGGGCUAAUACCGGAUAUGACCUCCUUGGGCAUCCUUGGAGGUGGAAAGUUUUUCGGUGAGGGAUGGGCCCGCGGCCUAUCAGCUUGUUGGUGAGGUAGUGGCUCACCAAGGCGACGACGGGUAGCCGGCCUGAGAGGGCGACCGGCCACACUAGGACUGAGACACGGCCCAGACUCCUACGGGAGGCAGCAGUGGGGAAUAUUGCGCAAUGGGCGAAAGCCUGACGCAGCAACGCGGCGUGCGGGAUGACGGCCUUCGGGUUGUAAACCGCUUUCAGCAGGGAAGAAGCCGCAAGGUGACGGUACCUGCAGAAGAAGCACCGGCUAACUACGUGCCAGCAGCCGCCGUAA
rnacentral:rRNA from 1 species